GAUAGGUUAAGUUAAUAAGGGCGCAUGGUGGAUGCCUUGGCACUAGAAGGCGAUGAAGGACGUGACUAACUACGAUAUGCCUCGGUUAGCUGUAAGUAAGCUUACCCGGGGGUUUCCGAAUGGGGCAACCCGAUCUUAAUGAUCAUCAUCUUUUUGAAUUCAUAGAUUAGAUGAAGCAAACGCUGUGAACUGAAACAUCUAAGUAGCAGUAGGAAAGUAAAGAAAUUUCGAUUCCGUCAGUAGCGGCGAGCGAACGCGGAAGAGCCCAAACCUGGAUGCUUGCAUCCAGGGGUUGUAGGACUGAUGUUGAGUUACAAAGGUAUAAGAUAGCAGAAACAGUUGGGAAGCUGUUCCAAAGAGGGUGACAGGCCCGUAUGCGAAAUCUUGUACUCUCUAAUCAGGAUCCUGAGUACGGCCCAGCACGUGAAAUUGGGUCGGAAUCUGGGAGGACCAUCUCCCAAGGCUAAAUACUAACUAGUGACCGAUAGCGAACAAGUACCGUGAGGGAAAGGUGAAAAGAACCCCGGAAGGGGAGUGAAAUAGUUCUUGAAACCGUGUGCUUACAAGAAGUUCGAGGCCGUUAAUGGCUGAGAGCGUGCUUUUUGUAGAAUGAACCGGAGAGUUACGAUUGCGUGCAAGGUUAAGGUGCAAAGACUGGAGCCGUAGCGAAAGCGAGUCUUAAUAGGGCGAAUCAGUACGUAGUUGUAGACCCGAAACCGAGUGACCUAUCCAUGGUCAGGUUGAAGGUGGGGUAAUACCUACUGGAGGACCGAACAAGUGGGUGUUAAAAAACCCUUUGAUGAACUGUGGAUAGCGGUGAAAUUCCAAUCGAACUCGGAGAUAGCUGGUUC
rnacentral:rRNA from 1 species